ensembl:lncRNA
AGUCAGGCGCCGGGUUGUGCCCCUAGUCCACACAGGCCCCGAAGGAGCUGCAAAGAGAGAGAAGCACAUGCCACAUCAGGCAGCAUCUCAGAAACGGAGGCGGCGGCGGCAGCAGCAGCAGAGCACCGCUCCCGGGGGACACUUUUACUUUGCCCUCAAAGUAUCUCUCAGCAAUGAGAGCGUCUGAAUCCCCCACCCCCCCUCCUGCACUACAGCAGAAUGCUGGGGUGUUUGCUGCAAGAUUCCCAGUCCCACUGACAUCAGAGCACAGAUGGACAAGGCCAGGGGUACGAGAAAGAGAUAAGCUGCUGCUAAUGGCCAGGAAGCGGUCUUUUUGUGUGGACUUAUCUCGAGGAAGAUGCCCAUCUCAGGAGGUAUGCACAUGACUUUUGCUCAAGCACCCAGGAAUGUCACGUAGGCAGGAGAAAAUGGAGGAUAAAAGAGGGUCCAACAACCACGGCGGACUAGAGGCUGAUCUCUCACCAAGACAGACCAGUGGAGGAUUUCUGUCAUCAGAUCCCUCACCAUGACGGACUCGAGGUUUCUGCCUUCAGAUCCUUCUCUACGGACCGUAUGCUGACGGACUUCCCUGGGCCUGCUACCUGAGACCUGCUGCUUCCUCCCAGACUUACUCUGCGGCUUCUUCCUGGACCCAC